AACAGGUUUCCGACCAUGAACCAUGGACAUUAUUUUCUGUUCCAAAUAGCCUGAACUUUGGAGAAUAAACUACUGCAAAGACAGAACCAGUUUGGGGUGAUUCGAGUGGUGAGGCACCAAGGAAUGAAGACCAAUCUUGGUGAAGUGACCCUCUCCACUGGAGAAGUUGAUUAACUCUACCCUCACUCUAUGAUCUCCAGUCUACUGCUUUCCUACUUGAAAUUCAAGAUUCAAACACUCUGAGAGGAUGAGCCAAGC